rnacentral:lncRNA from 1 species
UGCAGACAUUGACUCUGCUUUGACGACAGAGCUGGAAUUAAUUUCGCGUGUACCACAUAAUCAGAAUCGAGGCAGUUUGAGUUUAAAAAUGUAGGAAGAUUCCACAAUGAUUAGAAUGAGUACGUAAAGAAAACAGCUUCAGACCAUGAUUAUCUAAGAUACGGGGUCUGGGUUUGCAGAUUAAUUUUAACAUAAGAAAAUGAAGUGACAGCUGAGGAUCUUUCAUGACACACUGCUGAGCUGCUG